GAGAAAAACAAAGUGAACACGGGUGAGCUGAAAUGAAAAAGCGGCAGGUGAGGAUGGAGGAAUAACAAGAGCAGAGGAGGACCCACCUGGCCGUCACGCUUCACAAGCUGAACUACACACAUCUCCGCCUGGACGCUGGUUCUCUGUCAUCUGGUUGCUUCCUUAUCAUCAUAAGACUCCACCUGCCUGCCUCCCUGCCAGGUCCCUUGCUCCAAGUAUAUUCUGGACCCUCUCUGGACACUUCUCACCCGGACCUCCUUGGACACCCCCUCCUCACAUGACACUUUCACCUGCAACGCUGACUGUGUACCUCCACCCAAGCCGCUGCCCCUUUUUCCAUUCCCAGGAUCCGUCUAUGAAAUCUUGCACCUAGUCAUAGCACUCAGAGUUUCAUGUUCAUAGUUUGGCCUCACAGUUCUCAGUUCAUAGCUUCCACAGUUCAUAGCAUUCAUAGUUUCCUGCUUUGUAAUUUAACUAGGUACUGUAAAUAAAGCACUAUGUUCACGCCCGUUUUGCCUCCCUCUGUGUCUGCAUUUGAGUCCACACCCACAGCCUGGCCCUCUCGGCCGUAACAGAA